GAGGGAGACCAAACUUAGCAAGGUAUUGAACGCAACUGAUGUCAUACCAUUGCUGGUCAAACCAAGGUCGGUUCAAAAAGUAAUCAAAGCCAAUAAAACGUCAAACUAUAUUGUUCGGGUCAACAACAGAAGUAUCUAUUCUGGUAAUAGAGAAGUCUGACCAAAACAAGGGCUAUUAGCUCAGGUGGUUAGAGCGCACCCCUGAUAAGGGUGAGGUCCCUGGUUCAAGUCCAGGAUGGCCCACCACGAUCGAAGGAAAAAAGAGAAAGGAAAAGGAAAAAGAAUAAUUUGAUUUUAAAAUCCUCAGUCCACGUUCCUCAAUCCUUAAGAAUGGGGGUAUAGCUCAGCUGGUAGAGCGCCUGCUUUGCAAGCAGGAUGUCAGCGGUUCAAAUCCGCUUACCUCCACCAAGUAAAGUUGUUAACUACAAUAAAUCAAAUAAAUUCAGCACUCUCACAACUAGUAACAAGUAGAGUGAGUCUGCUGGACUUAUCAAAAGUUCAGACAUGAACCUUGAAAACUGCAUAAAAUCUAGAAACAGUGAUUGAUUCUAUACUGAUAGAAGUAAUCAUUGGUGAAAGAGCUAAAUAACUAAGUAAUUAGGUCAAAAAAAAACUAAGGCAGUAAGUGAAAACUUACUAUAAAUUAGUCCAAGAUAGGCAAAACCUAUUGAGUAGAGAGAAACAAAGUGAAGGUUAUUGCCAAGAGGCAAUAAUCAUCACUAAAUGGUCA
rnacentral:tRNA from 1 species